GUGGGGAAUAUUGGACAAUGGGCGAAAGCCUGAUCCAGCCAUGCCGCGUGUGUGAAGAAGGUCUUCGGAUUGUAAAGCACUUUAAGUUGGGAGGAAGGGCAGUAAGUUAAUACCUUGCUGUUUUGACGUUACCAACAGAAUAAGCACCGGCUAACUUCGUGCCAGCAGCCGCGGUAAUACGAAGGGUGCAAGCGUUAAUCGGAAUUACUGGGCGUAAAGCGCGCGUAGGUGGUUCAGCAAGUUGAAGGUGAAAUCUCCGGGCUCAACCUGGGAACUGCCUCCAAAACAACUGAGCUAGAGUACGGUAGAGGGUAGUGGAAUUUCCUGUGUAGCGGUGAAAUGCGGAGAUAUAGGAAGGAACACCAGUGGCGAAGGCGACUACCUGGACUGAUACUGACACUGAGGUGCGAAAGCGUGGGGAGCAAACAGGAUUAGAUACCCGGGUAGUCC
rnacentral:rRNA from 1 species